rnacentral:rRNA from 1 species
AGUCAAGUGAAUAAGUGCAUCAGGCGGAUGCCUUGGCGAUGAUAGGCGACGAAGGACGUGUAAGCCUGCGAAAAGCGCGGGGGAGCUGGCAAUAAAGCUAUGAUUCCGCGAUGUCCGAAUGGGGAAACCCACUGCAUUCUGUGCAGUAUCCUAAGUUGAAUACAUAGGCUUAGAGAAGCGAACCCGGAGAACUGAACCAUCUAAGUACCCGGAGGAAAAGAAAUCAACCGAGAUUCCGCAAGUAGUGGCGAGCGAACGCGGAGGAGCCUGUACGUAAUAACUGUCGAGAUAGAAGAACAAGCUGGGAAGCUUGACCAUAGCGGGUGACAGUCCCGUAUUCGAAAUCUCAACAGCGGUACUAAGCGUACGAAAAGUAGGGCGGGACACGUGAAAUCCUGUCUGAAUAUGGGGGGACCAUCCUCCAAGGCUAAAUACUCAUCAUCGACCGAUAGUGAACCAGUACCGUGAGGGAAAGGCGAAAAGAACCCCGGGAGGGGAGUGAAACAGAACCUGAAACCUGAUGCAUACAAACAGUGGGAGCGCCCUAGUGGUGUGACUGCGUACCUUUUGUAUAAUGGGUCAACGACUUACAUUCAGUAGCGAGCUUAACCGGAUAGGGGAGGCGUAGGGAAACCGAGUCUUAAUAGGGCGAUGAGUUGCUGGGUGCAGACCCGAAACCGAGUGAUCUAUCCAUGGCCAGGUUGAAGGUGCCGUAACAGGUACUGGAGGACCGAACCCACGCAUGUUGCAAAAUGCGGGGAUGAGCUGUGGGUAGGGGUGAAAGGCUAAACAAACUCGGAGAUAGCUGGUUCUCCCCGAAAACUAUUUAGGUAGUGCCUCGAGCAAGACACUGAUGGGGGUAAAGCACUGUUAUGGCUAGGGGGUUAUUGCAACUUACCAACCCAUGGCAAACUCAGAAUACCAUCAAGUGGUUCCUCGGGAGACAGACAGCGGGUGCUAACGUCCGUUGUCAAGAGGGAAACAACCCAGACCGCCGGCUAAGGUCCCAAAUGAUAGAUUAAGUGGUAAACGAAGUGGGAAGGCACAGACAGCCAGGAUGUUGGCUUAGAAGCAGCCAUCAUUUAAAGAAAGCGUAAUAGCUCACUGGUCGAGUCGUCCUGCGCGGAAGAUGUAACGGGGCUCAAAUCUAUAACCGAAGCUGCGGAUGCCGGUUUACCGGCAUGGUAGGGGAGCGUUCUGUAGGCUGAUGAAGGUGCAUUGUAAAGUGUGCUGGAGGUAUCAGAAGUGCGAAUGUUGACAUGAGUAGCGAUAAAGCGGGUGAAAAGCCCGCUCGCCGAAAGCCCAAGGUUUCCUACGCAACGUUCAUCGGCGUAGGGUAAGUCGGCCCCUAAGGCGAGGCAGAAAUGCGUAGUCGAUGGGAAACAGGUUAAUAUUCCUGUACUUGAUUCAAAUGCGAUGUGGGGACGGAGAAGGUUAGGUUGGCAAGCUGUUGGAAUAGCUUGUUUAAGCCGGUAGGUGGAAGACUUAGGCAAAUCCGGGUUUUCUUAACACCGAGAAGUGAUGACGAGUGUCUACGGACACGAAGCAACCGAUACCACGCUUCCAGGAAAAGCCACUAAGCUUCAGUUUGAAUCGAACCGUACCGCAAACCGACACAGGUGGGCAGGAUGAGAAUUCUAAGGCGCUUGAGAGAACUCGGGAGAAGGAACUCGGCAAAUUGAUACCGUAACUUCGGGAGAAGGUAUGCCCUCUAAGGUUAAGGACUUGCUCCGUAAGCCCCGGAGGGUCGCAGAGAAUAGGUGGCUGCGACUGUUUAUUAAAAACACAGCACUCUGCCAACACGAAAGUGGACGUAUAGGGUGUGACGCCUGCCCGGUGCCGGAAGGUUAAUUGAAGAUGUGCAAGCAUCGGAUCGAAGCCCCGGUAAACGGCGGCCGUAACUAUAACGGUCCUAAGGUAGCGAAAUUCCUUGUCGGGUAAGUUCCGACCCGCACGAAUGGCGUAACGAUGGCCACACUGUCUCCUCCCGAGACUCAGCGAAGUUGAAGUGGUUGUGAAGAUGCAAUCUACCCGCUGCUAGACGGAAAGACCCCGUGAACCUUUACUGUAGCUUUGCAUUGGACUUUGAAGUCACUUGUGUAGGAUAGGUGGGAGGCUUGGAAGCAGAGACGCCAGUCUCUGUGGAGUCGUCCUUGAAAUACCACCCUGGUGUCUUUGAGGUUCUAACCCAGACCCGUCAUCCGGGUCGGGGACCGUGCAUGGUAGGCAGUUUGACUGGGGCGGUCUCCUCCCAAAGCGUAACGGAGGAGUUCGAAGGUUACCUAGGUCCGGUCGGAAAUCGGACUGAUAGUGCAAUGGCAAAAGGUAGCUUAACUGCGAGACCGACAAGUCGGGCAGGUGCGAAAGCAGGACAUAGUGAUCCGGUGGUUCUGUAUGGAAGGGCCAUCGCUCAACGGAUAAAAGGUACUCCGGGGAUAACAGGCUGAUUCCGCCCAAGAGUUCAUAUCGACGGCGGAGUUUGGCACCUCGAUGUCGGCUCAUCACAUCCUGGGGCUGUAGUCGGUCCCAAGGGUAUGGCUGUUCGCCAUUUAAAGUGGUACGUGAGCUGGGUUUAAAACGUCGUGAGACAGUUUGGUCCCUAUCUGCAGUGGGCGUUGGAAGUUUGACGGGGGCUGCUCCUAGUACGAGAGGACCGGAGUGGACGAACCUCUGGUGUACCGGUUGUAACGCCAGUUGCAUAGCCGGGUAGCUAAGUUCGGAAGAGAUAAGCGCUGAAAGCAUCUAAGCGCGAAACUCGCCUGAAGAUGAGACUUCCCUUGCGGUUUAACCGCACUAAAGGGUCGUUCGAGACCAGGACGUUGAUAGGUGGGGUGUGGAAGCGCGGUAACGCGUGAAGCUAACCCAUACUAAUUGCCCGUGAGGCUUGACUCU